GCAGUGGUGGUUCAGUGGUAGAACUCUGGCCUUCCAUAUGGAAGACCUGGGUUGGACUCCCAACCAAUGCA
rnacentral:tRNA from 1 species